AACGAUGAACUGGAGCUUGCUCAGGGAUUAGUGGCGAACGGGUGAGUAACACGUGAGUAACCUGCCCUUGACUCUGGGAUAAGCGCUAGAAAUGGCGUCUAAUACCGGAUACGAGCUUCAGCCGCAUGGCUAGGAGUUGGAAAGAAUUUUGGUCAAGGAUGGACUCGCGGCCUAUCAGCUAGUUGGUGAGGUAAUGGCUCACCAAGGCGACGACGGGUAGCCGGCCUGAGAGGGUGACCGGCCACACUGGGACUGAGACACGGCCCAGACUCCUACGGGAGGCAGCAGUGGGGAAUAUUGCACAAUGGGCGAAAGCCUGAUGCAGCAACGCCGCGUGAGGGAUGACGGCCUUCGGGUUGUAAACCUCUUUUAGUAGGGAAGAAGCGAAAGUGACGGUACCUGCAGAAAAAGCACCGGCUAACUACGUGCCAGCAGCCGCGGUAAUACGUAGGGUGCAAGCGUUGUCCGGAAUUAUUGGGCGUAAAGAGCUCGUAGGCGGUUUGUCGCGUCUGCUGUGAAAUCUGGGGGCUCAACCCCCAGCCUGCAGUGGGUACGGGCAGACUAGAGUGCGGUAGGGGAGAUUGGAAUUCCUGGUGUAGCGGUGGAAUGCGCAGAUAUCAGGAGGAACACCGAUGGCGAAGGCAGAUCUCUGGGCCGUAACUGACGCUGAGGAGCGAAAGCAUGGGGAGCGAACAGGAUUAGAUACCCUGGUAGUCCAUGCCGUAAACGUUGGGAACUAGAUGUGGGGGCCAUUCCACGGUCUCCGUGUCGCAGCUAACGCAUUAAGUUCCCCGCCUGGGGAGUACGGCCGCAAGGCUAAAACUCAAAGGAAUUGACGGGGGCCCGCACAAGCGGCGGAGCAUGCGGAUUAAUUCGAUGCAACGCGAAGAACCUUACCAAGGCUUGACAUAU
rnacentral:rRNA from 1 species